rnacentral:rRNA from 1 species
UGGGGAAUAUUGCACAAUGGGCGCAAGCCUGAUGCAGCGACGCCGCGUGAGGGAUGACGGCCUUCGGGUUGUAAACCUCUUUCGCCAGGGACGAAGCGCAAGUGACGGUACCUGGAUAAGAAGCACCGGCUAACUACGUGCCAGCAGCCGCGGUAAUACGUAGGGUGCGAGCGUUGUCCGGAUUUAUUGGGCGUAAAGAGCUCGUAGGCGGUUUGUCGCGUCGGCCGUGAAAUCUCCACGCUUAACGUGGAGCGUGCGGUCGAUACGGGCAGACUGGAGGUAUGCAGGGGAGAACGGAAUUCCUGGUGUAGCGGUGAAAUGCGCAGAUAUCAGGAAGGACACCGAUGGCGAAGGCAGGUCUCUGGGCUGACACUGACGCUCAUGCACGAAAGCGUGGGGAGCAAACAGGAUUAGAUACC